CACGUAGGGCGCAAGCGUUGUCCGGAAUUAUUGGGCGUAAAGAGCUCGUAGGCGGUCCGUCACGUCCGCUGUGAAAACCCAGGGCUUAACCCUGGGCUUGCAGUGGAUACGGGUAGACUAGAGGCAGGUAGGGGAGAAUGGAAUUCCCGGUGUAGCGGUGAAAUGCGCAGAUAUCGGGAGGAACACCGGUGGCGAAGGCGGUUCUCUGGGACGGUACUGACGCUGAGGCGCGAAGGCGUGGGGAGCAAACAGG
rnacentral:rRNA from 1 species